CUAGGCGAAAUGGGCGUAGACCCGGAGGGGGGGGGCGGUGCCUUGCCCCCAUCCUGUCUGCCCAAUUUUCCCUCCCUCCAGAUGGAAGCACCGAUGGCAGAAUAUUAACUACCAAUUCCUAGGCAAGAGGAAGAGACAUCUAGUUCCCUUGCGCCCGUGAGAGCCGGGAUUUGGAGAGACAGGCUUCAGGUUCAUCGCAUGAUGGUCCCGAGGCUGACUCGAGCCAAGCCAGGAUGAGCAGGAAGGUGUCCUGGGAGCACUGCAAAAUCCUGCAUCCCUCUCUGUCGGUGAAGAUCCUCCACCUUUGCCCUCUCCCCUGGGAUCUCCAUGUUUCUGCCCUUCACUGCCCAAAUAAAGCAGUUUUUGCGUCUCUCUGGCUCUCUCUA